rnacentral:rRNA from 1 species
CCGCGUGUGUGAAGAAGGCCUUUUGGUUGUAAAGCACUUUAAGCGAGGAGGAGGCUACCGAGAUUAAUACUCUUGGAUAGUGGACGUUACUCGCAGAAUAAGCACCGGCUAACUCUGUGCCAGCAGCCGCGGUAAUACAGAGGGUGCAAGCGUUAAUCGGAUUUACUGGGCGUAAAGCGCGCGUAGGUGGCCAAUUAAGUCAAAUGUGAAAUCCCCGAGCUUAACUUGGGAAUUGCAUUCGAUACUGGUUGGCUAGAGUAUGGGAGAGGAUGGUAGAAUUCCAGGUGUAGCGGUGAAAUGCGUAGAGAUCUGGAGGAAUACCGAUGGCGAAGGCAGCCAUCUGGCCUAAUACUGACACUGAGGUGCGAAAGCAUGGGGAGCAAACAGGAUUAGAUACCCUGGUAGUCCAUGCCGUAAACGAUGUCUACUAGCCGUUGGGGCCUUUGAGGCUUUAGUGGCGCAGCUAACGCGAUAAGUAGACCGCCUGGGGAGUACGGUCGCAAGACUAAAACUCAAAUGAAUUGACGGGGGCCCGCACAAGCGGUGGAGCAUGUGGUUUAAUUCGAUGCAACGCGAAGAACCUUACCUGGUCUUGACAUAGUAAGAACUUUCCAGA